GUGAACGCUGGCGGUAGGCCUAACACAUGCAAGUCGAACGGCAGCACAGUAAGAGCUUGCUCUUACGGGUGGCGAGUGGCGGACGGGUGAGGAAUACAUCGGAAUCUACUUUUUCGUGGGGGAUAACAUAGGGAAACUUACGCUAAUACCGCAUACGACCUACGGGUGAAAGCAGGGGAUCUUCGGACCUUGCGCGAUUGAAUGAGCCGAUGUCGGAUUAGCUAGUUGGCGGGGUAAAGGCCCACCAAGGCGACGAUCCGUAGCUGGUCUGAGAGGAUGAUCAGCCACACUGGAACUGAGACACGGUCCAGACUCCUACGGGAGGCAGCAGUGGGGAAUAUUGGACAAUGGGCGCAAGCCUGAUCCAGCCAUACCGCGUGGGUGAAGAAGGCCUUCGGGUUGUAAAGCCCUUUUGUUGGGAAAGAAAAGCAGCAGGUUAAUACCCCGCUGUUCUGACGGUACCCAAAGAAUAAGCACCGGCUAACUUCGUG
rnacentral:rRNA from 1 species